GAUGAAGAACGUAGCGAAAUGCGAUAAGUAAUGCGAAUUGCAGAAUUCAGUGAAUCAUCGAAUCUUUGAACGCACAUUGCGCCGGCUAGUAGUCUGGCGGGCAUGCCUGUCUGAGCGUCAUUUCAACCCUCGCCCCCGGCUUUUGCUGGGAGCGGUGUUGGGGAUCGGCCGCCCGUCACUGGGAGGCCGGCCCCGAAAUAGAGUGGCGACCACGCCGUGUGCUCCUCUGCGUAGUAGUAAAUCACCUCGUAGGCGGACAGCGGUGCGGCCUGCCGUAAAACCCCCAACUCUUUCUGGUUGACCUCAGAUCAGGUAGGAAUACCCGCUGAACUUAAGCAUAUCAAUAAGCGGAGGA
rnacentral:misc_RNA from 1 species